CACGCACCCCUUCUCCACUUCAUGCACAACACCGUACGUACGUAGGCCAAGAAAAUAAAACCAAACACCACCCACCAACGCCUUUCUCUACGCUUUCCUUCUCAUCCAUCGUUUCCAGCCAGACCCAGUUAAGGCCUCAAGGAAAUAGAAAGAAGAAGAGAAAGGCAACAUCGAUCCUAGGAAUUAUCUCUUGAGAAGUCGGACAAAGACAUGGGGCACAAAAUGCGACAGGCUAGCCGAAAGCCACUGCUACUACUUCAACUCGUACUCCUGGUCAUUGUGGCAGCUUCCAAAUUGAUCGGAUGCUCGGCUUUGGAAAGGCAUGACGAGGUCGCCGCAUCUCCACCGGCACCCAAUUCAGAGAUGAACUGCCCGUGUUCUCCCUGCGGUUGCCCCGUAAGUCCGCUGCCACCUCCGCCACCUCCGACGCACCCAACCUCGGAUUGUCCACCUCCGCCACCUCCGACGUAUCUCUAUAUGGAGGGUCCGCCGUCAGAGAAUUCGUAUCCAUUCGCACCCUACUUCCAUAUAUCGGGUGGUCCUCGGAGCUGCACUGCGCUGCUGCCAGUUUACGUGAUGUGUGGGCUGUUCGCAUUGUGGGAGUUCUGGUUGUUGUGAGGUUCCUAGAAUCAUGAAUAGUAUGCCUUUUUUAAUGCACCCAUCUAGAUUUGUUUUCUUUCUUCUCUAAUUGUACCAGGAAAUUUAAAUGAAAUAGAUCUUGUUCUCUGGAUGGUUAUUAUGGAGAAAUAUUCA
rnacentral:lncRNA from 1 species